AACGGCCAUACCAUGCUGAAUAUACCGGUUCUCGUUAGAUCACCGAAGUCAAGCAUCAUUGGGCGCGGUUAGUACUUGGGUGGGUGACCACCUGAGAACACUGCGUGCCGUU
rnacentral:rRNA from 1 species